UACGGAGGGGGCUAGCGUUGUCCGAAGUUACUGGGCGUAAAGCGCGCGUAGGCGGGUUGGUAAGUCCGCUGUGAAAGCCCGGAGCUCAACUCCGGAGGGUCGGUGGAUACUGCCAGUCUUGAAGGUGCUAGGGGGAGAUGGAAUUACCGGUGUAGCGGUGAAAUGCGUAGAUAUCGGUAGGAACACCGGUGGCGAAGGCGGGUCUCUGGGCCGAUACUGACGCUGAGGAGCGAAAGCGUGGGGAGCGAACAGG
rnacentral:rRNA from 1 species